rnacentral:rRNA from 1 species
GAUGAACGCUAGCGGCAGGCUUAAUACAUGCAAGUCGAGGGGCAGCGCAGUGUAACAAUACAUGGGCGGCGACCGGCAAACGGGUGCGGAACACGUACAGAACCUUCCUUCGAGCGGGGAAUAGCCCAGAGAAAUUUGGAUUAAUACCCCAUAGUAUAUUGGAGUGGCAUCACUUUGAUAUUAAAGAUUUAUCACUUGAAGAUGGCUUUGCGUCUGAUUAGGUAGUUGGCGUGGUAACGGCCCACCAAGCCUACGAUCAGUAACUGGUGUGAGCGCACGACCAGUCACACGAGCACUGAGAAACGGGCCCGACGCCGACGGGAGGCAGCAGUAAGGAAUAUUGGUCAAUGGACGCAAGUCUGCACCAGCCAUGCCGCGUGGAGGAUGAAGGUCCUCUGGAUUGUAAACUUCUUUUAUCUGGGACGAAAAAAGGGUUUUCUAACUCGUCUGACGGUACCAGAUGAAUAAGCACCGGCUAACUCCGUGCCAGCCGCCGCGGUAAAAC